AUCCCUGCUGCUAAGUAACUGAGGUAAAGAAGAUUAUCCCUGACACUAUUUCAGAGUGUAAAACAUCACCAAAAAGGUGAUUGUGGAAAGGAAACCUAACAAUUGAAGUUAUCUACUUCAGCAUGACAAAAAAAAUGUUGCACUUAUAAUAAGUAGACUAAACAAACACCCACAUAACUAACGCACGAACUAGUAAAUCCCCUGAAAAAAAAAA